rnacentral:rRNA from 1 species
GACGAACGCUGGCGGCGUGCCUAACACAUGCAAGUCGAACGGAGCAGCAAGAAGGAAGUUUUCGGAUGGAAUUUUUGCUGUUUAGUGGCGGACGGGUGAGUAACACGUGAGCAACCUGCCUUUCAGAGGGGAAUAACAACCGGAAACGGUUGCUAAUACCGCAUAAUGCAUACAUGCCACAUGGCGAGUAUGCCAAAGGAGCAAUCCGCUGAAAGAUGGGCUCGCGUCUGAUUAGAUAGUUGGUGAGGUAACGGCUCACCAAGUCAACGAUCAGUAGCCGGACUGAGAGGUUGAACGGCCACAUUGGGACUGAGAUACGGCCCAGACUCCUACGGGAGGCAGCAGUGGGAAAUAUUGGGCAAUGGGCGCAAGCCUGACCCAGCAACGCCGCGUGAAGGAGAAGGCUUCGGGUUGUAAACUUCUUUGACAGGGGACGAAAGAAAUGACGGUACCCUGAAACAAGCCACGGCUAACUACGUGCCAGCAGCCGCGGUAAACGU